rnacentral:rRNA from 1 species
GACGAACGCUGGCGGCGUGGAUUAGGCAUGCAAGUCGGACGGUAGGGCUUUAUCGUAAGAUAGAGUUUGAGAGUGGCGAACGGGUGAGUAACACGUAGGAAUCUACCCUUAAGACGGGGACAACCCAGGGAAACUUGGGCUAAUACCGGAUGAGAGUGCGAGAGAUUGCAUUUAAAAGGAUGGCGAAAGUUGUCGCUUAGGGAUGAGCCUGCGGUCUAUUAGUUAGUUGGUGAGGUAAGAGCUCACCAAGGCGAUGAUAGAUAGGCGGCCUUAACGGGUGGUCGCCCACACUGGGAUUGAGAUACGGCCCAGACUCCUACGGGAGGCAGCAGUCGAGAAUAGUCUACAAUGGCCGGAAGGCUGAUAGUGCGACGCCGCGUGAACGAGGGAGCCCUUCGGGGUGUAAAGUUCUUUUCUCAGGGAAAAGGAUGAUGGUACCUGAGGAAUAACGCCCCGGCUAACUACGUGCCAGCAGCCGGCGGUAAGCACGAGAGUA